rnacentral:rRNA from 1 species
UACUAGAGUAGCACUCGCAUAUCAAUAAGCGGAGGAAAAGAAACUAACAAGGAUUCCCCUAGUAACGGCGAGUGAAGCGGGAAGAGCUCAAAUUUGAAAUCUUAAAGGGUUUCCCUUUACGAAUUGUAGUUUAAAGAAGUGUUUUCUGUUGAGGUUUUGGUAAAAGUUCUUUGGAAUAGGACAUCAUAGAGGGUGAGAAUCCCGUAUUUGACCUUUACUUUCAACUUUGUGAUACACUUUCAAAGAGUCGGAUUGUUUGGGAAUGCAGUCCAAAAUGGGUGGUAAAUUUCAUCUAAAGCUAAAUAUUGGCGAGAGACCGAUAGCGAACAAGUACCGUGAGGGAAAGAUGAAAAGAACUUUGAAAAGAGAGUUAAACAGGUACGUGAAAUUGUCAAAAGGGAAGCGUUUGACACCAGUGUUGUUUUUCUGAAAAUCAAUUAAAGAACUGUUUAUGCUAAGUUGUUUAGACUUUAUCAGCUAUCUGUUUAGUUUUGAGCUUUUCUUUAAUGCACUUUUCAGUUAACAAGUCAACAUCAAUUUCUUUUGCUGUAAAAAAGCUUGAGGAAGGUGGCUUGAGAUUCGUCUUAAGUGUUUAUAGCCUCUUGCCUAUGCAGUCGGAGAGAUUGAGGUCUGCAGCGUAGAUCCUUCGGGGCUAAAUGCAUUUGUGCUAAGUUAUAGCAUUUUAUAGACAACUUGUUGACUAUGAUUUGUCUUGUAGCUUACUCGCUUAUGUUAUUUUACCUACGCUUAGGAUGUUGAGCGCAUGUCUCUCUCU